rnacentral:lncRNA from 1 species
UCCCAAAAUUGGGAAAGACCAAAACAAUAACUACUGAGAGAGUUAAAGCACAAUGAAAUUCCUCUUUCCAUAGGUGUUACUUUGCAAGACAGUAUCAGCCAAACUCACGGUAAAUUGUGAAGCAGCAGCCAGGAAGAAGCAGAGUCACUGAAGCAUUUGUCUGCUCAGACACCAUGGCAAUCCAUUAAGGAGCUUACGGUGACCCAUCGACCUUUGAGCCAACAACACGGAAUCCAUUAUCAUCACCACGGAGGAGCCGGGGCUCUGCCGGCUCGACAAUGGGCCCAGGAAAUCCCAAAUAUAAUUUUUCCUGAGGACUUGAUAUUCAAGAAUAGAGGAAAAGGUAUAAAAAAUGAAAGCAUUCCCGAAAGAUAUGUAAUUUGGAAUAACAACAGAAAAAAGAAUAGCAUAGAUGUGUGCAUAAGAAGUGCCAUCACCAGACACUGGCAACAAACAGAAGCUAUGCUUUCUGUCUAGAAAUCAUGUGUCAGACUACAAACCUCAGGCAAAAGUUAGCAACAACUUGAUGGUGAAAUAACAACAGAAGAGUGAAAAUCUUUGGACGUAAAUGGAGCUCCAAACUGUCUCAGCUUUCAGUGGCCAAAAAUAAACUGGCUCUUGGCUGAAAGACA